GAUGAAGAACGCAGCGAAAUGCGAUAAGUAAUGUGAAUUGCAGAAUUCAGUGAAUCAUCGAAUCUUUGAACGCACAUUGCGCCCCCUGGUAUUCCGGGGGGCAUGCCUGUCCGAGCGUCAUUACAACCCUCAAGCUCAGCUUGGUGUUGGGCCCCGCCGCCCCGGCGGGCCCUAAAGUCAGUGGCGGUGCCGUCCGGCUCCGAGCGUAGUAAUUCUUCUCGCUCUGGAGGUCCGGUCGUGUGCUCGCCAGCAACCCCCAAUUUUUUUCAGGUUGACCUCGGAUCAGGUAGGGAUACCCGCUGAACUUAAGCAUAACAAUAAGCGGAGGA
rnacentral:misc_RNA from 1 species